CCGGCGUGCCGGCAACGGCGGUCAUGGUCUGGAGGCUCAUGCCGUGGUCGAUGAGGCGCGCGAGGCCGAAGUCGCCGAGCUUGGCGUUGAAGGAUUCGUCGAGCAUGAUGUUGCUGGGCUUGAUGUCGCCAUGGACGACGCACUGAUCCCAUUCCUGGUGGAGGUACAGCACCGCGGAGGCUAGAACACGCCUGAUCGAUGGUAACAUGGGCACAUACGUACGUACCUGAGCGGCCAGGUCAAGGUCUCCUUGUUGCUGUAGAGGUGGCCGUCGAGGCUGCCGUUGCGCACCAGCUCGUACACCAGCAGCAGCCGGCGGCGGCCAUGGCACCACCCCAUCAGCUGCACCAGGUUCCGGUGCCG
rnacentral:sRNA from 1 species